AACCCAUGAUGAGGACACUCUCUGAGGGUAUCAUUGAACCGUCCCAAGCUUCGUUGAAAGGUUCACUAGGGAGUUGCUUGAAGGAGGAAAUCUUGUUCCGUAGGGC
rnacentral:snoRNA from 1 species